AGAAAGAAAAAGAAAAUAAGAGAGGAAAAGGUCCUGAGAAAUGACGGACGCUUGAACCUCGGGCCCGGGAAGACCAGCGCCCUUUGGCGGCUAGGCCUCGGGGGCGUGCGGAGGGCGGGCCCCCGCGCGGCCGCCGCUUUCCCAGGCCGCCAGGGGUGAGGAGGUGACGCUGCGGGCUUGGUGGCGGCUGGUUUUUCACACAGGAAUCCUCCUCGCCACCGCUCCCUCGAAGGCCGCCCCCCGCUCCACCCCCAGCACUGGGCGCCCGCGCCUCCCAACUCAGCCCGCCGCCGAGCAGACGGCGCGCCGCGGUAAUUGGGCACAGGGGCCUUUUUCAGAGUCGCUCAGUCGAUAAAUGAAACGUCAGCUCCCCUGUGAUCCCGCGUGUGUGGGGCGGCGGUGGCUGCGAGCCGGGGCGCAGGGCCGGCCGGCAGCCGCUGCUCUUUCACAGCCCCAGACCCUGCGCGGCCUGCCGGCGGCUGGCGACCUCCCUUCCCCUCCCGAGGCGCCCGAGCCUCUGAUCCCCUCCCGGGGCGCCUGUGGCCUCCCUUCCCCUCCCGGGGCGCCCGAGCCUCUGAUCCCCUCCCGGGGCGCCUGUGGCCUCCCUUCCCCUCCUGGGGCGCCUGUGACCUCCCGUCCCCUCCCGCGGCUCCCGCGGCCUCCGACCUCCUGCCGGGGCGCCUCAAGGGCCCCUGCCCCACAUCAGAGGGUCUUGCGGUUUCCUGGUUUGGUUCAACAUCUCUGAAACCCAGAGGUGAAGAAGAAACCAUGGAGGAGAAUCCGAAACAGUCUUCCAGAUCAGACCUCUAAAAUAACUAAAUUCUUGUUAAUCAUUAGAUUCUCCCUUUUAUUUAAUGUGUAAGUCCAAGGGGAUUCCUUCUGCUUCCCCAUUCAAUUAGACAGCAACCUCUUCCUCUAAAGUUCUCUCAUCUGAAGCCAUCUGAGCAGGAGCACUUUGACCAACUCAAUUCUGCUCUGAUCUGGACUACUUCUCCCAGUUUAGGGAUCAGUAAAUUGCCAAACACUUCCCAAUUUAUCCCUGAAGGAAUCCCUGAAAAAUGAUGGCCUUUAUUCUCCCUCAGAGAGGGAGCUUGAGCUCUUGAGAAAGACAUGAAGGCCCUUGCCGCUGUCGGCAUCACUCCUUCCUCCCUAAUCCGGUCAGUUAAUUGCUGAGUGCUCGCUUCCUGAUCUGCGUGAUGGCCUCGGAACCGGGCUGCGUGUAGACCUGGGUGACUAUCAGCUCAGCUCCCAAGUGGAGGGCCUCGGAAGACGCUCUGUGCGGCCUACUAACAAGCACGAGGUUGCAUCAUAUUCCAUUAUAUGUACAUACACAUUUCAUUUAUCCAUUUAUCCAUCGAUGGAAGUAAUUACUUUUUAAAAAGCACACCAGUACUUACACAUAAAAAUGAUGCUGUCCUUCAGAAUAGAGCACUUCAGAAGUUAUACUUACUCAGUGAUGACUUGUGUCAUUGGCUCUUUAGGGGAAUUGUGUUCCCCUAAAAUUCAUAUGUUGAAUUCCUAACCCCCAGAACCUCAGAAUGUGACUGUAUUUGGAGAUUGUGCCCUUUAAAGAGGUGAUUGAAUUAAAACGAGCCCUUUAGUUGGGUCAUAAUACAAUGUGACUAGAGUUCUUACAAGAAGAGGAAAUUUGGUCUCACAAAAGACACCAGAGGUACACGCAGAGAAAAGGCCAUGAGAAGACACAGCGGGAAGAUAGCCAUCUGCAAGCCAAGGAGAGAGGCCUCCAGAGACACCAAAACCUGCCGACACCUUCAUCUUGGACUUCAUGCCCCCAAAACUGUGAGAAAAUAAAUUUCUGUUGUUUAAGC
rnacentral:lncRNA from 1 species